ACUGUCCUUGAGCCCUAUCUAUUCUCAGCAUACUGUUUUCAAAGGCCCCUGCAAUAUGCCGGUUAAAAAACAAACUGGAAGCCACUGAUUUAGUCCCUAUAAGUAACAGAUGGUGGAAUUGGGGCCCAGAGCCAUUAAGUAGCUCCUACAAGUUAGAUGGCCACAAAUUCAGGACUAGAUCUAGAUCUUCUAAUAAUCAGUCUAAUUUUUGCUCCAUAGAAUGUUUCCUUGUCUUGCACGUCACAUUACAGAUGGAAAUGCACCAUGUUCUACACAUUCACAUACUGCUUCUCAAGCAUAGUUGAUCUUAAGCUUCCUAUUAUUUGUAUAAUCUCCAUAGAAACUGUAAAAUACAAAUUCACUUUUCACAGGAAGUUUUUUUUUUUUUUCUCCUAGGCUAAAGUGAUGGAAAGAUAUGAAAAACAAACCCAUCUUGCUAUUUUAAUGAAAUGUGAAGAAUAAAAAGUUCAGAAGCCAUUUGUGUUGAAAUAGAAUGCAAUUAAAAAGUCCCAGGCAAGCACUGUAAGGUCAUAAACAAGAGAGCUAGCAAGAAAAAAAAGAUCAAGAAGCAAAUCUUGAAACAAGUUAUAACCUGCCAGACAUGAGAAAGUCGAUAGAAAACGAGAAAGAAAAAAAAAAAAAAAG